rnacentral:lncRNA from 1 species
AAUGAAGAGAGAAAAUACUAGAAGAAGUUUCGGCAGAAAGGGGAAAGGAGUAGCCGUCAGAAAACUUGAGAAAUUAGGGAGAGGGUGCCGAAAUUAUGAAAGAAGAAAAAAAAGAAUAGAGGUAACAAUCAGAUUUUUAUAAACUUCCCCCCAAUCCCCUAACUUUCUCCCAUAUCCCUAACUUCCCUCCUAAAAAAUCACCCAACACACUCCCAAUAACCCUCAAAUUCCCCCAAACUGUCCACCCUAAUCUCUUCAACAACCGAAUUUCCCACUCCAACUCUACAGAAUUUUGGUCAAACUACAACACCCACACAGCACAAGCAGUAAAAAUAAAUCCCAUGAUUGGGCAAGUAUUCGAACUCCAGACCUCUUGCUCAUUUGCCCUCCACUUAAC